rnacentral:rRNA from 1 species
AUUGAACGCUGGCGGCAGGCCUAACACACGCAAGUCGAGCGGAUGAGAAGAGCUUGCUUCUCGAUUCAGCGGCGGACGGGUGAGUAAUGCCUAGGAAUCUGCCUGGUAGUGGGGGACAACGUUUCGAAAGCAACGCUAAAACCGCAUACGUCCUACGGGAGAAAGCAGGGGACCUUCGGGCCUUGCGCUAUCCGAUGAGCCUAGGUCGGAUUAGCUAGUUGGUGAGGUAAUGGCCCACCAAGGCGACGAUCCGUAACCGGUCUGAGAGGAUGAUCAGUCACACUGGAACUGAGACACGGUCCAGACUCCUACGGGAGGCAGCAGUGGGGAAUAUUGGACAAUGGGCGAAAGCCUGAUCCAGCCAUGCCGCGUGUGUGAAGAAGGUCUUCGGAUUGUAAAGCACUUUAAGUUGGGAGGAAGGGUUGUAGAUUAAUACUCUGCAAUUUUGACGUUACCGACAGAAUAAGCACCGGCUAACUCUGUGCCAGCCGCCGCCGUAAAAC